UUUUGAGCAUUUUUCUAAAAAGUGUCCGAGUGGCGCAGUGGGAUUUUGGA
rnacentral:sRNA from 1 species